rnacentral:tRNA from 1 species
UGGACGAACAGCCCCGGCAUGGGCACGCAGCGUCAAGGAAUAAGGAAACAUGCCAUCGCCCCGGUAGCUCAGAGG